rnacentral:rRNA from 1 species
AUUGAACGCUGGCGGCAUGCCUAACACAUGCAAGUCGAACGGGGCAGCAAUGCCUAGUGGCGGACGGGUGAGGAAUCCGUAGGAAUCUGCCCUUAAGUGGGGGAUAACCAGGGGAAACCCUGACUUAUACCGCAUGAUCUCUUCGGAGCAAAGAGGGGGACCGCAAGGCCUCUCGCUUCUGGAUGAGCCUACGCGCUGAUUAGCUAGUUGGUAGGGUAAAGGCCUACCAAGGCAACGAUCAGUAACUGGUCUGAGAGGAUGAUCAGUCACACCGGAACUGAGACACGGUCCGGACUCCUACGGGAGGCAGCAGUGGGGAAUAUUGGACAAUGGGCGCAAGCCUGAUACAGCAAUGCCGCGUGUGUGAAGAAGGCCUUCGGGUUGUAAAGCACUUUAGCCUGGAAAGAAAAAACUUUGGUUAACACCCAAAGUCUUGACGGUACCAGGAGAAUAAGCACCGGCUAACUCUGUGCCAGCAGCCGCAGUAAAAC